UACGUAGGGGGCAAGCGUUGUCCGGAAUCAUUGGGCGUAAAGAGCGCGUAGGCGGCCCUGUAAGUCCGCUGUGAAAGUCAAGGGCUCAACCCUUGGAUGCCGGUGGAUACUGCAGGGCUAGAGUCCGGAAGAGGCGAGUGGAAUUCCUGGUGUAGCGGUGGAAUGCGCAGAUAUCAGGAGGAACACCUAUAGCGAAGGCAGCUUGCUGGGACGUUACUGACGCUAAGGCGCGAAAGCGUGGGGAGCGAACAGG
rnacentral:rRNA from 1 species